AACUGUGUGAACAAAUGCUUUACUAAUGAUGAAUUAUGUAUGAACAAUACUCAUGAUUAACAAACCAUUAACAGAUAGGCUUAUUUACUAUGAAUAAACCAUUUAUUACUGUUUUAACAAAUGCUUUACUGAUGACAAAUUAUGUAUGAACAAUAAAUUACUCAUGAACAAACCAUUAACUAAUAGGUAACUAAUGCUUGCUAAUAAAUUAUGAAUUGUGUGUAGUUAUUAUAAAGUGUUGCCCAUUAACUUAUAAAAAUAA